GCACCGCCUGGAUUUGCAUCAAGAGAUCCUUCACCAGCUCUGGGAAGUUUUAGCAAAGGAAAGACUCAGGACCACCAGCAGUUGCCUGUUAACCUUCAGAAAGUCGCCUUGCUUUAGAGAGCUCACCAUGGCCUGGACUCUGUUUUUCCUGGUUCUUCUCAGUUACUGUUUAGGUAAACACAAAAAGAAGUAGACUUAAGCUGGCCUAAAUGGGGGGGGGGGGGGCCUUGAGGUAAUGUUUAUUUAUUAUAGUGCCUUAAAGUUCAGGUGAUAUGUGAGAACAGAGAGGAUUGAGAAUCAUACAUUUCUUUUUCUCUUUUUUUACAAAGGUGUUAUUUCACAGCCAGCAUUGACCCAGCUGGGAUCCCAGUCUGUGUCCCUGGGUCAGACUGUGACCCUCUCCUGCUCUAAGAAUAAGGGGAGCUGGCAGACCUUUGGCUGGUGUCAACAGAAACCUGGGCAGCCUCCUCGUUUUCUAUGGUAUGGUCCCAGCACCAGGGGAGACGGGGUCCCAGAUAGGUUCACCGCUUCUCCCUCUGAGGAUACCGGCUAUUUAACCAUCUCCAAUGUCCAGGCUGAAGAUGAGGCAGUUUAUCACUGUUUUGCAUGGGAAGGCACCGG